rnacentral:lncRNA from 1 species
AUGACUCCGAGUCUCCUCGUGCUCCCCGAGCGGGCCCGUUGUGGAAGGGCCAGGAGCUGCCUGUGGCAGGCUGCAUGGUGCUGGGCGUGGGAUCCAGGCCCCAGCAGGAGCCCUUCUCCUUCUCCCCAUCUCUUUCUCGAUCUUUUGAUGCUGCUGGGGAAGCAGCAGCUGGAGCAGCAGCAGGAGCAGGAGCUGAUCGCCGAACUGGUUCACGUUCUUCUCCACGUUCUUCUCUCCUAUCAUCAGCACGCCGCCAUGAGCUUGCUGCAAGUACAAGAGACAAUAAAACAACCUUUGUCACAUUCAACCAGCAGCCUGCAAGAGUUUAAACAAACAAGCCUCACACUGACAGUCUGAUUUACUGAUUCUCAAUCUUGCCAAGAACUAAUAUGAAGAUGACAGCCAAAUGCACAGCUUAAUUUUAUAGUGAAGUAACGGCCCAGAACUACUCAAGCCUCUUUCCCGAUUCAGGAUUGCUGUGAGCAACCGAAGUGUCAUCUUUAAAACACUAACUGCAAUAAGAAUGUUCUAUUGAUGGACGUGGUUUUAUAAUGUAAAAAAUACAUCCUUAUAUUAUCAGAAUUAAAAGCACAAAAGCAUCUCCUUAGAAAUGACUGAAACCUGCAAACAGAAAAUUCCUGACUGAAAACAGUUGUGGAAAUCUGUAGGUGUCUCCGAAGACAGCACCUUGCUGUUCUGCCUACUGAAACCAGAGGUAGAUACGACACUGGAUUGAUUACACAACCCCACUGACAAUGGCCUUCAGCAUUCUUCACUACAUGAAGAAUUCUUCACUUCCACCAAAAGGAGUUUCAAAAUUCUAACCCAGCUACGUACGAACAAAGCUGUCAAAUACCAAACCAGACAUUCCAACAACGAAACAGUUCUUGAUAUAUUUUUUAAAUGAAGUAUCUUCUCCCUGAGAGCCCUCAGCCCUUCCGCCAGCUGGCAGCCCCGUACAUGUUGUGCUCCAGUUUGCUCUCUGAGAUCGGCUGCACGACAG